rnacentral:rRNA from 1 species
GUGGGGAAUAUUGGGCAAUGGGGGCAACCCUGACCCAGCGACGCCGCGUGAGGGAAGAAGGCCUUAGGGUCGUAAACCUCUGUUGUGUGGGAAGAAGGAAGUGACGGUACCACACGAGGAAGUCCCGGCUAACUACGUGCCAGCAGCCGCGGUAAUACGUAGGGGACGAGCGUUGUCCGGAAUUACUGGGCGUAAAGGGCGCGUAGGCGGUCAUUUAAGUCAGCUGUGAAAUGGUCCGGCUCAACCGGAUCAUGCGGUUGAAACUGGAUGACUGGAGUGCUGGAGAGGCAAGUGGAAUGCCGAGUGUAGCGGUGAAAUGCGUAGAUAUUGGGAAGAACACCGGUGGCGAAGGCGACUUGCUGGCCAGCAACUGACGCUGAGGCGCGAAAGCCAGGGGAGCAAACGGGAUUAGAAACCCUUGUAGUCC